CAAUAACCGUAAAAGACUUCCACAUGUUAGCCUGAUGGACUAAAACAAAGGGGAUAAAUUUUAGUAAGAAAUGAAUAUAGAUCUCAGGUUAAAAAAAGACCAACUGACUGGAGAUGACUGGCUUAAUAGAAGUUCAUGUGAAAAGUCUCAUGAGUUUUAUCACCAGGAAGCUCAGUGGGAGUCCAGUGUCACGUGACAAGCAUCAGUUCUUGGAGUGUGUUCGUGGAGGUAGAGUCCUCCUAUUAAGGGUAGUCCUAUAUUUUAACCCUGGCCAAACUUAUACUGAUUUCCUUAUCUCUGAAAGUGUCCGAGACAAAACUGAGCAAUUGUGUCAUAUAGGAAACUGUUGGAGGAAUUACAGGAACCAUGAUUUAGCCCAAAGUGGAAAAGCUCAGGAGGAGGCCUGAGUGAUUGCUGUGUGGAAAUAUUUAUCUGAAGGGUUGAGGUUUUCCCUGAAUUCCAGUGUCUAGCGCUGGAGUAAGACCAGGAUCAAUAUCUGGAGAUUUCAGGGAAAUCCUCUGGAGGUUGAUAUAAAGAAAAAUUUUCUGAUGAAUAAAAUUUGUUCAAAAGUGAAAUGGAUUGGCAUGGGAGGAGGAGAGUCCCCUGACCCUGAAAAAUGAGGCCAGAUAUCAACUUUCUGACUGAGGAGGUUGUGGGGGAGGUUGAAGUGUGAAGUUGUGCUAGAUGGCCCUUCAGAUUCCAUCCAUUGCCAAGUAGGCAAAUUUGUCCCUGGGGCUGUCUUGUCUCCCCUUUAUCCCAGCUGUAACUCUGGGAAAAACUGGAUCACCUGCUUCCCAUUACAAUAUUAAUGACUUAUAAGGCUUGAGGUCUUGAGAAAUUUAUACUUCAGUAAUUUUCCACCAAUAGGCAUGUUUCUAUUCAUGAAGACCACACUGGCUUUAGCCUGCAAACAAAGGACCUGUCACAAGAGUGCGAGAUUUUCAUGUGCAAGAAUUAGCUCCUGCAGGGACAUUUGGGAAGCGGUCAACUUGUACCUCUUAAAUGAAAACAUAGAAUCUCGUCUCUAUACCCUAUGGAAGCAGGAAAUUGGGAGUGAUGCAUCCUCAUCUGCCUGUUCUGGACAGUGUGCUGGUCUGUUUCCCCUGGGCAACAGCAGUCAUUACCUAAUGGAUAUUGGAGAAAUGAGCCCUUACUGUCUCCUGUUCUUUUGCAUUGCUGUGGGAUUAAAAGAUCAAUAAGAACAGUAGCUGUGAUCUUGGUAUUUGAUGGGAAUCUUUUAGCCACCUUCCUACUCUAAGUCACUUUAUCAUUGCAUUAGAAAUGGGUGAUAAGGAUGGAGCAUUUGAAUAUGGCUGCAAACCUAAACCCUCGGCUCACUCCGCCUCUCUCUUCUCUUUCCCAUCCAGCAAGCAGGGUGGAACAGUGAGGGUGUCUGCCCUGCAAGAAGACAGGAUACCAAAUACUUGCACGGUGAAGAGCCACCAUCCUGGGAGAUGGGGGAAGGGCCUGGAAAGGAGAGGAGAACUGAGGGAUAUUUUUCUCUCCCAUCCAAGAGCCUCCUAGGGACCCCUUCCUGAACCCGGCAUCCUUCCUGCUGGUCUCUUUGCAGAGAUAUGCAGGGCCCUAUGGAGUUCCUGAGGAAUCCUGCAGCUGCUGGGGGCUCGUCGGAGAUGGGCAGUGUGUCUCCCUGUCCUUGUUAGUCCCAUAAAUGGCCCAUUGAGGGGAGCAGGAGAAGGGAGAGGCAUCCAGGGCUGGCCCCGGGGUCCCUCAAUGGGGGCACUGUUCAGGCUUGGGUGGAAGCCAGCCCUGACACCAUGCUAGUUGUUAAAGCCUCAUUCUUCCCAAGGAGGCGGCUGGAAAGGCAGCAGAGCAGCUGAGGCUCCAGAAAAGGUACUUCUCUUGUUCUUCGCAAGGCUGGACUGGCACAUGAGAGGAAGCCACUUCCUCUUCAAUUAUUUUCUGUUGUCCAUUGCAUUUACAUCUCAAGCAUUUUCCCUCUUCCUUCUUACUACUCAAGAUCCCACAUUGAUGGGUUUUUCCCUUAUUCUCCCCAGUCUCAACGGAAACUUAGAAAUGAUGUCAAAUUUUCCUGUUUUGUACUGGUCCCCUUGGGCAGCCCAUCAGGGAAGCACCUUGAGAGUGGCUCCUAUUUGGCAGUUGCUCUUGAGCCCCUGAAUAGUUCAAAAUCUCAUUCAAAAUGAAGAGUGUGGCUUUGGAAAUAGCAAAAUACUAGAUGUCCACUGCAGGAAACAUAAUGUUUUUCUUGCCCACCUUCCAUACUCCUCUUUCUCAUAAUACCACCUGGAUUUCCCUUUAAGGGCCAAGCCUGCCACACUCAGCCUAUGGGUGUUGAUGGGAUUGACUUGACCACGAGGCUCUUGGUUUCAGGAUGGCAUAGCACUCUUGGCCAGCAUCUUCUAUCCUCCUGGCUUUGGGUAGGGGCAGUUAGGACCCAGACUGGGCCACAUCAGAGUCAAUCUUGAGCAAGAAAGAUUUGGGGUAGGUAUGGGGGCAGACACUCCCUAUUUUCACUGAGGUUGCUGACUAUGUAGAGUCUAAGUUGGGAGCUGUGGUGAUCACCUUUGUUUCCACAUGGGAAGAAUUACUGUGAGGAUAUAGGCCACAGAGGAAAACCGGGCCAAAGUGACAGACCCUUGAUGAUAUAGGAUGUAGGUUGGAUCCAGCUAUGCCUAAAGCCAGCACCCUGGUCUUUCAGUUAUACUGGUCAGAAUGUUCACUUUUAUUCCUUCAUCUCACUUGAGUUGAGUUUCUGUUCACUGGUUUCUAUUAGCAUGAUUCAUUUAGUUGCCACCAAAAGAGUCCUAAAAAUGCUGACCUUUUCUACUUCCUAUUCACUGCUCAGGCCACCCUUAUUCAGUUAUUUGCUACAGUAUUUUGCAGUUGCCCCAGACUGUACCAGAGCUAACAUGUACUAACAUUAUCAAAAAUUUCAGCCUAGAUGGAAACGGGAAGACUCGCUCAGUUCUUCUCUGAAUGGAGGUGAUAACAGGUACCCCUGGAGUCCCCAUGUGCAUCUUGAAUCUGUAAGAGCCCCAGCUUUACCCAUUCAUUCAGCAAUCAUUAACUCUGUGUGUAUCACAUGCUAUGGAACUGCCUCAAACAGCUCACAGUCAAGGAGAGGGACUGGUGGCAUGAGGGCAAAGAAGUAGGAUAGUCUCCAUGAUGAGACUCUAUAUCCACUUCCAUGGGGGGCGCUAGGAAGCAAGUGGCCAGAUCUUAUCUUCGAAGGGGGGAGAAAGACUUCAAGGAAGAGGUGAUGGCUUGAGCUGUAUCUUCAAAGAUGUAUUGAGGUUUUUCAGCUUAAAAAAAAAGUAUAGGAAAGGCAUACAGUCUGACCCGGGAGAGAAAUGUCAACUGUAAACUGUUGUCUGACUUAAAAACCCUCCCCCUGCAGGAUGGCGAAGGCAGUUUGACCUUCUGUGUUUAGCACAUGCCUGACUGCUGUGUUAUGCUGGGUAGGACACAGAAAUCUGUGGCCACAUUCAUCCCCUCCUUUCACCCUUUCCAAAAUUCAGAAAACAUGUGUAAAGUUCUCUGGCUGGCGAGCAAUGCCAUAUAGAUGUUAGAGUGACUUGUGGUUGGUAAACUCAACAUUCUAUGUCCAAUCUCCAGGUUUGUGGGUGUGAGUCAGUGGCAAGGAUAUGGCAGUAGCAGGAACAGCAGCAUCUGCCCUAUUUUCAGAUCAAAGUUAAAACUGUAUACCCCUCAAAUAAAUGGUCCAGUGGUGGUCCCCUGACUUCCUUGUUUUGUAAGCAGGUCCAUUCCCUACACUAAAUCUCUUUCAGUUAGACAUCCCUUGAGUAUGUUCUCUUGUCCACACUGAACUCUGACUGAAGCCAUUCCCCACUGUGAGGUCUGGAAGGGCCAAGACCUGCUUUUCUCAUUCUCCACUGCAUCCCUAGUAGUGAGCACAAGGUGUGGCAGUAGUGGGUUCUCAGUAAAGAGUUUUUGAGCAUGUGUUUUAAAAGUUGCAAUAUGGGUGUGGGGGCACAUAUGUAUUUAUGAAUAGUUAAGCAAUUCAGAAGAUGCCAUAAGGCUGUACACCAUUGAGAGCCACCUUUUUAGCAAUGAUAUGUUGUCAUAGGCCAUUGGUUACCCUGGUCUCCAGUGUUCAUGGAAGAUUUGAUGGAGAUGUAUUGAUGGGAGGGGACUGGAUUCAGAAGAAUGAGUAGACACUGGAUAAGAAAAAAAAAAGAGUGCCGUACUUUAGAACCAGUGCUUAGUGUUAAUAUCACUGCACACUGAUGACUUAACGUGCACACGCUCCUGAAAUGAAGACUAAGUUCCCUUUGAAAUACAUGUGGGCUUAAAAGUGAAGGGAAAAGGUCUUGGCAUGAUGUUCUUGGGUUUUGCCAAACCCUAAUGUUGUGUUUGGAGCCCUUUUCUGCCCCGUAGGCCACAAGAAUUCCCCUGUUCCCAUCCCAUACCCACAUCAAGCAUGUUUCUGAAUCUUCUGGGAAGCCACACACUGAGCAGUCAGAUAUCUGAUCCUACUUCAGAACAAGCAAGGCAAGAUCUAAGUUCAACCAGCAGAAAUUUCCAUUGGGAGCCUUUGCCCAGGAUGUUGGCUGACAGCCUCUGGUCCUCCUGAGUUCCAGAAUUGGGUGAAAGGCACAUUCAGCAGUCUUUUCCUCUAUGAUGGCCUGAGUAUAAUACCUCAUGAUGGGAGGAAGAACACCAAGAAGGUCUUCAAGGAGAGGGUAUCUGACCUUUGGACAUUUUGCAUCUCAGGCUCACUUCUACUGGAGGAAAAAGCAAAGAACCUUCAGGCCACAGCCUUUAUCAUCACUGUUUGCCACUGAUGCUAGCAGGCAGGCUUGACCCUCUUUCCCAACCUGGGUCACGAGCAGAGCAGUUCAUGAAGUUCUUGUUCAGAAUCCUGAUUACAGAUGAUAAUCUCUGUGAACCUCCUUGAAGGAGAGCCACUUCUGCUGGGAAGGACAUGAUGAGAUGUGGAAAAUCAACCCAAGUGUACUGAAGAAGAAGGGUUACAGUUGUACUUAAAUAGAUCCUUCAAACUCAGGCUUUUAGCCCUUCUGUUGUUUCUGGCCAAGAACUGAGAGCUCCUUUGUGCCCUCCCCUCACAUCUUUAAACUCAAGACUUCACCGAAUGGAAUGGAGUGCCACUAGAAGAGCAUACGCCGUGUGGCUGAAACUGAAAUGGUGGAGUGGUUUGGCUGGACCCAGCCUGGCUCUGUUCUGCCACAAUGGACACAGCAGUUUUGAAGCAAAACUAUUUACCAAGUGCAGAGAGUCACGCCUCACCAGAGGGAACCUCACCAAGUCUCCCUGUACAGUUCUUCCUGGAUGUCUUCUUUAGCAAGGUUACACCUGGCACACAGACCCUGUCAGCUACUCACUGCAUUCCUUACAAACCCAAACCCACCGAGGAUCAGAGCGAUGUCCUGUGUGCCAGGCACCUUGCUUACUGCAGGAGAAAAGAGGUGGACAACAUGCCUUGGAAUGAGGCAGAGAAGCCAAAAUUUAAAUGUGUGAGACCAGUGUUGCAGUUGUUAUUCCCUCUGCUGGUGGAUAUCCCAGGAUAUGUUUGUUGGAAUUACCCCUGGACUCUUCACUGUCUUGCAUCAGCCUCUUUUUUUCUUUGGAAAAGUAUAAGCAAGAGUUGCUCAGUUGCUUGUCUGUGGAGAAAAAUCAUUCCUGAUCAGCUGGGGUGGAGUUCCCUGGUGACCUUUUUUUUUUUUUUUAAUCUGUCCACACAAUAUUCCCACAUCUCCCAUCUCAUGUUGUAACCUCUCUGGUUACAUUAAGCCUGCAGACUUUUCUUAAGUUCUUUCUUAUAAAGAUAGUAUUUAGAAAUUGUUUAUAAAGUUAUUUUUAGUGGGAAGUCAUGCAAUGAGCUCCAGUUGUCACCUUUCCAAAAUUCCAGGAGACUAGAAGGGCAGUCUGCUAAAAUUCUACGGACCAAAGCCAGGGUAACUCUUUUCUGGGGUGCUAGCACUACUCUUGGCACUGCCAUUGAGCCUGCUGUCCACCAUGAGACCACUGAGUAAGGCUCCUCCUCAUUGAUGAAAAUUCCUAUUGGUUAAUGAACUGAAUCAAAGAAUAAAUGUAUGAGGAGGGAAACUUGUCUGAUCAAUGUUGAAUACCCAGAACUUAGCACAGUGGUUGCCUUAUAUAGCAAGUACUCAAUAAAUAUUGAGUGAAUGAGUAGCUCUAUAUAUGGACUGUGUAUUUUUUAUUACUGAUGGAUUUGAAAUCAUCAGUAGCUGUUGCUCUUGCCAUAUGUGUAUAUUUGGUUCUUUUAGUUACAAGGAUGUGAUCUUCUAAUGCUGUCUUCAGGGAUAAACUACAUAGUGGUUAAAGUACAAGCUCUGCUAGUCUGUGGUGUGAGAAAUCAGUUGAGGUAGAGUGAGCAGUGACUGAAUAGAGACAUAAUAAUGGUAAUUUUCUGGAAAUGAUCUGGGUGUGUUCACUUUGUGAAAAUUUAUCAAGCAUACACUUUCAAUUUGAGCACUGAUAUGUAUAUGUGUUGUUCUUCAUUAAGAAGUUUGUUUUUUGUUUUACAAAUAGAGACUUUGGAGCUAAUUGUCUAAGUUCGUAUCCUGUCUUAUCCAUUCAUUCUGUAGCUGGAGAGCCUGGGACAAGUUACUUAACAUUUCUGUGUAUUACUUUCUUCAUCUGUAAAUUAGGAAUAAUAAUAUGUCUCUAUCACAGGGUUGUUGUGAAUUAAACUCAAUAAAUGUCAAUUGGCUGUUGUUUUUCAGAAGGUGA